rnacentral:rRNA from 1 species
AAUCAACGCUGGCGGCGUGCCUAACACAUGCAAGUCGAGCGGGAAAGGGGGCUUCGGUCCCUGAGUAUAGCGGCGGACGGGUGAGUAACACGUGGGUAAUUUGCCCUUGGGUGUGGAAUAACUCAGGGAAACUUGAGCUAAUACCGCAUGACAUCCCCUUCACACACGAGUUGGGGAUCAAAGCCGGGGACCCUUCGGGGCCUGGCGCCUGAGGAGAAGCCCGCGCCCGAUUAGCUAGUGGUGAGGUAAUGGCUCACCAAGGCUUCGAUCGGUAGCCGGCCUGAGAGGGCGGACGGCCACACUGGGACUGAGACACGGCCCAGACUCCUACGGGAGGCAGCAGUGGGGAAUUUUUGUCAAUGGGGGAAACCCUGAACAAGCAACGCCGCGUGGAGGAC